AGUCACGUGGCCGAGAGGAUAGGCUGAGGUCUGCAAAACCUUCUACGAUGGUUCGAAUCCAUCCGUGACGU
rnacentral:tRNA from 1 species